GAUGAACGCUGGCGGCGUGCCUAAUACAUGCAAGUCGAGCGAACAGACGAGGAGCUUGCUCCUUCGACGUUAGCGGCGGACGGGUGAGUAACACGUAGGUAACCUACCUAUAAGACUGGGAUAACUUCGGGAAACCGGAGCUAAUACCGGAUAAUAUUUCGAACCGCAUGGUUCGAUAGUGAAAGAUGGCUUUGCUAUCACUUAUAGAUGGACCCGCGCCGUAUUAGCUAGUUGGUAAGGUAACGGCUUACCAAGGCAACGAUACGUAGCCGACCUGAGAGGGUGAUCGGCCACACUGGAACUGAGACACGGUCCAGACUCCUACGGGAGGCAGCAGUAGGGAAUCUUCGGCAAUGGGCGAAAGCCUGACGGAGCAACGCCGCGUGAGUGAUGAAGGUCUUCGGAUCGUAAAACUCUGUUAUUAGGGAAGAACAAACGUGUAAGUAACUGUGCACGUCUUGACGGUACCUAAUCAGAAAGCCACGGCUAACUACGUG
rnacentral:rRNA from 1 species